rnacentral:rRNA from 1 species
ACGCUCGACACCUACGGGUGGCAGCAGUGGGGAAUAUUGCACAAUGGGGGAAACCCUGAUGCAGCGACGCCGCGUGGAGGAAGAAGGUCUUCGGAUUGUAAACUCCUGUUGUUGGGGAAAAAGAGGAUGGUACCCAACAAGGAAGUGACGGCUAACUACGUGCCGGCAGCCGCGGUAAUCUGAGCGGGCUGGCAAGGC